CCUAAAACUCUGGAGGGAUAGAAUCCCCAAACCAGGGGAAAUCUGAAGAUGAGAUCCCCCUAACUUUCAUACUGUUAAACCCUCUUCUCUUGGACAUUCUCAGCGUUCCCUUUUAUUUCUUAGAUUUCCAUUUAAGCCAGAUUUGCUUGAGGUGUACAUUUCAAUGUUGUCAUUUACUAUAAAGGGACAAGCUUUUAGAAUGAUAGUAUUGUACAGGCGUCAAUCUAUAGUCUGUUUUAAACUUGAUUUAUCCAUUUGUUAAUUUUUUUAAUGUUUUCAAACUUCCAUUUCUCUUCACAUCUGCUCCAUGUGAGAGAGAGAACAAAAUCCAGCCAGUAGUUUCUAGUUUGACUUUCGGUAUUCCCCUAGAAGCAAGCAUCCAUACAGAUGCUGUACUUCUUCUGUCCUCCCUAACUCAGAAGCCCUAAUAUGAGGAAGGAAAGCAUCAGACUGUUAGAGGAGAACAGGACCAGGCUAUCUAGAUAAAUAUGAAGACCUGCUUCAGACCAAUGAGAAGAAUUAGACAAGCAAUACGCAAGUGUGCAGACUUUCUGAGAAGGAUCAGCCAGCAUCACCUUCCUUCUUUGGGCUUAGGUCAGCACGUUUCUGCCAUCAACAUGACUACCGAUUAAGCAAAAACAAGGAGCAUCUUAAUUAUCAUCUGCUUUGGUUGCAUAAACGAACUUGUAAAUAAAUCUAUUGAUGUUAAAGACAAUAUCGUCAUCUUCCCAACCAACUAUAAAAGAGUUCUUAUACCAAAAGGCAUGGAAGAUACUUGGACUUGUGAGCUGA